rnacentral:lncRNA from 1 species
AUGUUAAUGCUCCAAAUAGAAUAAAGUCCAUGAGGGACAGAGUCUAUGGCAUGCAUGAAGCGUAACAGACCAAUCGGUUCCAAAGAUAAAACUCCUUGAAGAAGGAGAGGGGCAAAAUGGUCAUAACAAGGAGGCAAGUUCUCUAGAAAAGCACCACGACAUAACACUUUGUAAGACCUCAUGUGAGAGGCUCAGGUACCUGAAAAUAAUGAGAUAAAGAGAUCUCAAUAAGUUAUGUCUUUAUUGUGUAAUAAUUGAACCGAUAUAAAAUGAUUGUCGACGAUAUUGUUAAUAUAAUGUAGCUCUCAAUAUUAUUAUAUUGACGAGGAUCAUGAGCUCAAAUCUGUCAUGAAAUUUGGAUAGAUAAAUGAUUGGCCAAAUAAAAAAUACGCAAUGAAAAUUGACUUCACUUGAAAAAUGUGAAGUUGGGCGGAUAGUCCCAACACCUGAAAGUAUAAAGUCAAUAGAGGUAUAAAUGUGUUCUUGUGCAAAAAAAAAAGUUCAAGUCGAUAGACAUAAAGACGACUUGUGACACAAAAAAAAUUUAGUAAAUAUCCUCACAUUGAUUAUAUGGAGACAUGUUCUCUUAUGGUGGAUAUAAUCAUUUCAGGUUUUACUCUGGCAGUACAUGAAAACUUGAUAUGCAUAUAAUGGAAAUCAUUGCAGGAUUAAAAUUGCUUUGAAGCAUAUUAAUAUUUCCAAGAAAUUUAUUAAAUAAAGCUUCAAAAAUCCUUAUACGGAUUGAAACAAUCAGGGCGUAUGUGGUAUAAUCGCCUGUGUGAGUACCUAUUGAAAGAAAGGUACAAGAAUGAUUCAAUUUGUCCUUGUAUCUUUAUAAAAAGAUCUGGAUUUUAAUUUGUUAUAAUCUCUGUAUAUGUUGAUGAUUCAAAUAUCAAUACAACUCCCAGGUAGCUUCCUAAAGUAGUAGACUGUUUAAAUAAAGAAUUUGAAAUGAAAGAUCUUGAAAAGACAAAAUUUUGUCUUGGUCUACAAAUUGAGUAUAUGAAAGAUGAAAUUUUUAUCAAUCAAUCAGCAUACACUAAAAAGAUUUUAAAGCGAUUUUAUAUGGAUAAAGCACAUCCAUUUAGUACCCCGAUGGUUGUGAGAUCACUCGAUAAAUAAAGAUCCAUUCCGACUUCAUGAAAAUAAUGAAGAACUUGUUGGUCCUGAAGUACUAUAUCUUAGUGUAAUUGAUGCACUAAUGUAUCUUGCUAACACUAUAAGGCAUGACAUAACAUUUUCAGUUAAUGUCUAAGCAAGAUAUAACUCUGCUCCUAUAAGUAGACAUUGGAGUGAAAUCAAACACAAAUUGUGUUAUAUAAAAGGGACUACCAAUGUGGGCUUAUUUUAUGGCAAUAAUUGCAAUCUCGAUCUUGUUGGUUAUGCCUAUGUAGAGUUUUUCUCUGACACACACAAGGCUUGAUCUCAAACAUAUUAUGUGUUUACAUGUGGAUGCACUACCAUAUCUUGGCGAUCGACUAAGCAAUCAAUCGUGGCUACUUUAUCUAAUCAUGCUGAGAUAAUUUCUAUUCAUGAAGAAAGUCGAGAAUGUGUAUGGUUGAGGUCUAUAAUACAUAUUAUUCGAGACAAAUGUAGCUUGAAGUGUUACAAACUACCCACCAUUUUGUAUGAAGACAAUACAACAUGUAUAGCCCAAUUAAAGGGAGGAUUCAUAAAAAGGAGCUAGGACAAAACACAUUUCACCAAAAUUAUUUUUCAUGCAUGAUCUUCAAAAGAAUGGUGAUAUCAAUGUGCAACGGAUUCGUUCAAGUGAUAAUAUGGCUGAUUUGUUCACCAAAUCUCUACCGAUGUCAACCUUAAAGAAAUUAGUGUACAAGAUUGGGAUGUGAAUGAUCAAGGAUGUGAAUUGAUGCUCUCAUCAAGGGGAGUUAAUACGCGUUGUACUCUUUUUCUCUUAUUAGGUUUUGUCCCACUGAGUUUUUCCUUGCAAGGUUUUUAACGAGGCAACCAAAAAGCGUAUUUCUAAACAUGUGUACUCUUUUUUCUUCACUAGGAUUUUUUCCCAUAAGGUUUUUUCCUAGUAAGGUUUUAACGAGGCACAUUAUCUAUGGACAUCCAAGGGGGAGUGUUAUGAUAAAUAUCACAUUAUGGUGGAUGUCUACUCUUUUUCCAUGAUCUUUAUCUCAAAUGCUUAAUGACAUAUUUUGUAUGUUCAAUGAUAUAUUCCAUGACAUAUUUUCUUCACUUUUUAUGCCAAUAUAAAGGCCUUGUAAUAGAUAGGAAAAUACACACAAUUGAAGAAGAAAAUCUCUUCCUUCUCUCUAUCUCUAUUUCUUGUUCAUGUUUUACUAAAUUACUUUUAUUUCAUAACACUAAAGUAUUUCUCAACAACAUAAAAUUUUAGUGCACUUGCAAGUCUAAUAUGUGGAAUCAUCCAAAUCAGUAAACAGUAAGAGGUGCUUACUCCCAUAUGCUCUAAACACUUUCUUUUUUAUUGUUCUUUAAUAUCCAUGUUUCUUUCGUUAUACCACGAAAUUGAUGGAUUGAUUACCAUCAUGAGAGAAUGCAGAAAUCUCUUUAUAGGAAUCAUAUGAAGGACCACCAUAUCAUCUGCAAGUAUGAAGCAAAAAAGCACAAAUUAGUCAAGCAAUGAAAGACAUGCAAAAACUAAUAAUAUUAGCCAUGCUAUAUCAGAAUAAAAGGCAUGACAAUUUGACAAUUCUCGUAAAAAAAGAUUUUCAAAAAUGCUCUCUACCCUAACUUCCCCUAAAUCACAAACCUUACUUUUCCGAUCUCCUUCUUCACCCAUAUUGUUUCAUUAGCUACCAAUAACGAUGGACCCACUAAUUCAUCAUCAUAUGCAAAUUGAUAAACCAGAAAUUCAAUCACAAACCAAAUCAUUUCUUCAUACACUAACCUCAAAUUCACACCUACCAACUUACAUUUCUAACACCCAAUCCAUCAACGCCACUGUAGACUUAACCGAUAAAACAUCGAAUGAGGAUGAUUUAGACACUUUUAUUCCAUUAACAACUGAAGACAAAGCUCGAUUAUACACUCCUUGGCAAAAUUCUAUCAUAGUAAAGGUUUUUGGCAAAAUAGUUGGACACCAACUGCUAAAAUUAAAUUAACAAAUCUAUGAAAGCCAAAUGAAGAAAUCCAUCUUAUAGACUUGGGAUGCAAUUUUUUCCUUAUCAAAUUUCAUUAUGAGGAAAAUAUGUGUAAGGCUUUACAUGAAGGGCCUUGGUUCAUACUAAACCAUUUCCUCUCUGUUUGUCGUUGGGAGCCUAAGUUUAUUACUUCAGCAGCCCAAUAAACGUAUGCUGCUCUAUGGGUACGCUUACCAGAACUUCCAACGGAGUUUUAUGAUUUUCAAUUACUGCAAAAGGUAGGAAACAAGAUAGGGCAACUUCUAAAGGUUGAUACUUGUACAACCUCUACUACAAGAGGGAGGUAUGCUCGAAUAUGCAUUGAGGUGCCCUUUGAGAAACCUCUAAAGGCUCCACUAGGAGUAACGAGUGAUAUAGCUGACCAAGAUGAACCAACAAACCCAUAACCUAUCAUAAUUUUAAUAGUUUGGAGUUGUAAGGGCUCGAAUAAUGUAAAGUUUAGAAGAAAAUUUAGAUCACUGUUGGAUAAUUAUAGGCCUGUCUUAGUUAUACUACUGGAGACACGCAUGCAUGAUCACACGGUUUUAAAAAAAGAUUUUAACUUCUCACAUAUGGCACAAGUUGAGGCACAAGGAAUGUCGGGUGGUAUAAUCAUACUAUGGAAUGCGGAUUUGGUAACUGUGGAGGAUCUUACAAUGACUACACAGGAGGUACACUGCAUGGUACAGGUAUGGCCUAACCCUACUAAGUGGUUGUUUUCUUCAAUUUAUGCAAAUAACUCCACUUCAUUACGUAGUAUUCUGUGGCAAAAUUUAAAAUGUAUUCACGAUUCGUAUAAGGGUCCGUGGUUAGUUGGAGGGGACUUUAAUGAGGUCAUUAGAGAGAAUAAAAAAUUUGGUGGAAAUCCCAUCAAUAACACAAGGGUGGAUGCCUUUGCACAGUAUCUAAACUAUUGCAACUUAGUAGACCUAGGAUUUAAGGUUAGCCGGUAUACAUAGACAAAUAAACGAAGGAAUGGACAUACUAUCCUAGAAAGAAUGGACAGACUCCUAGCAAAUUAUGAUUGGAUUCAAAUAUUCCCUGAAACAGUAGUGCAACACCUCCCCAAUACCUAUUCAGACCAUUGUCCUCUUCUAGUCACACUUGAAUAAAAUCAAAUACCUAGAAAUAAUAUAUUUCGAUUUGAAAAAAUAUGGACAGCAAACCUUACACUUAUAAAUGUAAUACGCCAGUCAUGGCAAAGUAGCUCUUCCUUAGUUGAAGCUAUGAUAUAUUUUCAACAUAAUGUAACUUAUUGGAAUAAACAUAUUUUUUGAAACAUUUUCGCAAAAACAAAAAGGAAAAUAUUAGCUAGAAUUAAUGGAAUUCAAAAAUUAAUACACUACCCUACUAUCCAUUUUCUACAAAGCUUAGAAAUAUAACUAAAUCAUGAAUUUAGUGCUUUACUAAAACAGAAGGAAGAUUUUUGGAAAUUAAAAUCAAGAUCCAAUGGCUAAACGAUGGCGAUGCUAACACAAUUUUUUUUUCAUAUGUAUACCUUACAGAGACGUAGACGUAAUCGUAUAAACGCCUUAAAUGAUAGUAUAGGACAUUGGACUUUUGAUCCAACAGAAAUCCAAGACAAAUUUAUCAAUACUACACUACUUUAUUCCAAAUACAAUACUUAUUCACUAAUAAAACAAAUGACGAAUUAACAAUGUUUAAUUCUUUGAACUACUCUAAUCAACAACAACUGGCACAACCAUUAAAGUUGGUUGAAAUAAAGCAAACCAUAUUCUCCUUUUAACCUUUUAAGGCACCAGGGCCCGAUGGACUUCAUCCGUAUUUAUUCCAAAAAUAUUGGAGAGAAGUGAGUCAAUCAAUCAUAAAAUGUUGUCACAAUGCUUUCAAAGAAAGCAAAAUUCCAGAAGAAAUUAAUAAAACUAUUUGUGCCUAAUUCCCAAAAUAAAAAAUGCAGUAGCCAUCACUCAAUAUCGUCCUAUAAGUCUUUGCAACAUAAUCUACAAGCUAAUUACAAAAAUCAUUAUAAACAUACUAAAACCAUUCUUACAAAAAAUAAUUGGUCCAACACAAUCCAGUUUCCAACAAGGAAAAAGAGCUUCGGACAACGCAGUCAUUGUACAGGAAAUACUUCACCACUUAAAAAAUAUGAAAAAAGGGUGAACGGGACACAUGUUGCUAAAAUUAGACUUGGAAAAGGCUUUUGAUAAACUUGAAUGGUCCUUCAUAAAAAAUACACUCCACUAUUUCAACAUACCACACAAUCUCAUCUCACUCAUCAUGUCCUGCAUUACAACGUCUUUCAUUUCUAUAUUGAUAAAUGACUCACGUACUAACUUUUUUAAGCCAUCUAGGGGUAUACGUCAAGGAGAUCUUUUAUCCCCUUAUAUAUUUAUUAUGUUCUUAGAACGCCUAUCAAGGAAUAUAUUCCGAUCAGUAGAUUAUCUAUUAUGGAAAUAUAAAUUUCACACAAUGGACCUCAACUAUCACUUUUUUUUUGUAGACGACAUUAUCCUACUGUCUAAAGUAAAUGAUACUAGCUGCAAUACCAUCAUUGAUACUUGAUCAUGCCCAACUCUAGUCCUAAAAAGGAUAAGCGGUCACUGUAAAUAUAAUCCGGUCUAAAAGUCCGGAGUCGAAUCCAACAGAGAACUAAGGCUUAGCUAUAUCUUUUUAAUAUCACUAAAAAGACAAGUUUGAACAAUUUUCUAAAUUAUAAAGAUUGAGAUUUAUAUUUCUAACUAAUUAACUAGCAAAUACUAGAAAACAGUAAAAUUAUCAACUAACGAGACAAAGGGUUGGAGACUAAAUUAAGGAAGUCUAGAGUUAUGAUUUCUCCAAUUGUCGGAACCUUCUAGCUAUGUUCCCUACAAUUUUGCCAAUGUAUUCUCUACUGAUCGUGAGCACUUUAGAUGCCAUAAUUCUCUCUCGAGCAACUACAAUAAUUUACUAGACAUAUUCUCUCAAACUACGCUAGUUGACUUUAUCUAACCGCUCAUUAUGACCACGUCAAGGCUUUGUUAUUUCUAAACCUUCCUUUAAACCCGUUGUAUUGAUUUCUCACAUACGUUAGGAGUGACGUUAUUCAACAACCACCUAAAUAUGUAUCCUUUCUCAAGCAAAACAUAAUAAAUAUGCACAGUCAAUCGAUGGCCAUUCAAUCAUAACAAUAAACACGUAGUUGAACAAGUAGAGAAACCCAACGACUCAAUUAU